GGGCCCGCACAAGCGGUGGAGCAUGUGGUUUAAUUCGAUGAUACGCGAGGAACCUUACCAGGGCUUAAAUGCAGAAUGACAGAUUGGGAAACCAGUCCUUCUUCGGACAUUUUUGCAAGGUGCUGCAUGGUUGUCGUCAGCUCGUGCCGUGAGGUGUCAGGUUAAGUCCUAUAACGAGCGCAACCCCCUAUCAUUAGUUGCCAGCGGGUAAUGCCGGGAACUCUAAUGAGACUGCCAGCGCAAGCUGCGAGGAAGGUGGGAUGACGUCAAAUCAUCACGGCCCUUACGUUCUGGGCUACACACGUGCUACAAUGGCCGGUACAGAAAGCAGCCACUAUGCGAAUAGGAGCUAAUCUUUAAAACCGGUCUC
rnacentral:rRNA from 1 species